GCCUAGUUUGCUUAGUUGGUAGUGCGUCUGCCUUGUAAGCGCUAGGCCGCGGGUUCGAUUCCCGCCCGGGGCG
rfam:Asian citrus Psyllid, Diaphorina citri - Florida Strain, whole genome shotgun sequence.